GGCCUGUAAGGCCUGUGGGUUCUCGCGUCCCCCAGCUCCCCCCGCAGCCGGCUCCUCAGUGGUCCGCUCCGGUUGCCAGGUGCGGAUUCUGUUCCUAACUGAAGGCUGAGUGUUCUUCGCCAUUAACUGUGGCCCCGACAGGCCUGGGUUACUGCGGCCACCGCCACAGCAGCCUUGGCGCUAUGGAGGAGCCCGGGGCUACCCCUCAGCCUUACUGGGGGCUGGUCCUGGAGGAGCCACGCAGGGUUGUGGCAGCACUGCCUGAAGGCAGGAGACCAGAUUCGAAUCCUUAUGGAUUUCCAUGGGAAUUGGUGAUAUGUGCAGCUGUCCUUGGAUUUGUUGCUGUUCCCUUUUUCUUGUGGAGAAGUUUUAGAUCGGUUAGGAGUCGGCUUUAUGUGGGAAGAGAGAAAGAGCUUGCUGUAGCGCUUUCUGGACUAAUUGAAGAAAAAUGUAGACUACUUGAAAAAUUUAGCCUUGUUCAAAAAGAGUAUGAAGGCUAUGAAGCAGAGUCACCUUUAGAGGAUGCCAGCUUUGAGAAGGAGGCAACAGAAGCACAAAGUUUGGAGGCAAACUGUGAAAAGCUGAACAGGUCCAAUUCUGAACUGGAGCAUGAAAUACUCUGUCUAGAAAAGGAGUUAAAAGAAGAUAAAUCUAAACAUUCUGAACAAGAUGAGGUGAUGGCGGAUAUUUCCAAAAGGAUACAGUCUCUAGAAGAUGAGUCAAAAUCCCUAAAAUCACUGCUAGCUGAAGCCAAAAUGACCUUCAAGAGAUUUCAAAUGAAUGAAGAACAAAUGAAGAUAGCAAUACAAGAUGCUUUGAAUGAAAAUUCUCAACUUCAGGAAAGCCAGAAACAGCUUUUGCAAGAAGCUGAAGUAUGGAAAGAACAAGUGAGUGAACUUAAUAAACAGAAAAUAACAUUUGAAGACUCCAAAGUACACGCAGAACAAGUUCUAAAUGAUAAAGAAAAUCACAUCGAGACUCUGACUGAACGCUUGCUAAAGAUCAAAGAUCGGGCUGCUAUGCUGGAAGAAGACAUAACAGAUGAUGAAAACUUGGAAUUAGAAAUGAACAGUGAAUCGGAAGAUGGUGCUUACUUAGAUAAUCCUCCAAAAGGAGCUUUGAAGAAACUGAUUCAUACUGCUAAGUUAAAUGCUUCUUUAACAACCUUAGAAGGAGUAAGAAACCAAAUCUAUAUUCAGUUAUCUGAAGUUGAUAAAACCAAGGAAGAGCUUAGAGAGCAUAUUAAAAAUCUUCAGACGGAACAAGCAUCUUUGCAGUCAGAAAACACAUAUUUUGAAAGUGAGAAUCAGAAGCUUCAACAGAAACUUAAGGUAAUGACUGAAUUAUAUCAAGAAAAUGAAAUGAAACUCUACAGGAAAUUAAUAGUAGAGGAAAAUAACCGGCUAGAGAAAGAGAAAUUUUCUAAAGUAGACGAAAUGAUCAGCCAUGCCACUGAGGAGCUGGAGACCUACAGAAAGCGAGCCAAAUAUCUUGAAGAAGAACUUGAGAGAACUAUUCAUUUUUAUCAAGGGAAGAUUAUAUACCAUGAGAAAAAAGCACAUGAUAAUUGUUUGGCAGCACAGACCGCUGAAAGAAACCUCAAUGAUUUAAGGAAAGAAAAUGCUCACAACAGACAAAAAUUAAUUGAAACAGACUUUAAAAUUAAAUUUUUAGAAAAAGAUCCUUAUGCACUUGAUGUUCCAAACACAGCAUUUGGCAGAGAGCAUUCCUCAUAUGGUCCCUCACCAUUGGGUCGGCCUUCAUCUGAAACGAGAGCUUUUCUCUAUCCUCCAACUUUGUCGGAGGGUCCACUCAGACUCUCACCUUUCCCUCCAGGGGGAGGAGGAAGAGGCCCAAGAGGCCCAGGGAAUCCUCUGGACCACCAGAUUACCAGUGAAAGAGGAGAAUCAAGCUGUAAUAGGUUUACUGAUCCUCACAAGGCUCCUUCUGACACUGGGCCCCUGUCACCUCCGUGGGAACAGGACCGUAGGAUGAUGUUUCCUCCACCAGGACAAUCAUAUCCUGAUUCAGCUCUUCCUCCACAAAGGCAAGACAGAUUUUAUUCUAAUUGUGCUAGACGCUCUGGACCAGCAGAACUCAGAAGUUUUAAUAUGCCUUCUUUGGAUAAAAUGGAUGGGUCAGUGCAUUCAGAAAUGGAAUUCAGUGGAAAUGAUACCAAAGAUAAUCUUGGUAAUUUAAAUGUGCCUGAUUCAUCUCUCCCCGCUGAAAGUGAAGCAACUGGCCCUGGCUUUGUUCCUCCACCUCUUGCUCCAAUCAGAGGUCCGUUGUUUCCAGUGGAUACGAGGGGCCCGUUCAUGAGAAGAGGACCUCCUUUCCCUCCACCUCCUCCAGGAACCAUGUUUGGAGCUUCUCCAGAUUAUUUUCCACCAAGGGAUGUCCCAGGUCCACCACGUGCUCCAUUUGCAAUGAGAAAUGUCUGUCCACUGAGGGGUUUUCCUCCUUACCUUCCCCCAAGACCUGGAUUUUCCCCCCCUACCCGCACAUUCUGAAGGUAGAGUGAGUUCCCUUUAGGGUUGAGUCUGCCUUCAAAUGAGCCUGCUGCUGAAGAUCCAGAACCAUGGCAAGAAACUUGACAAUAUUUUUGCUCUCUUCAAAAGUCAUUUUGACUAUUCUCAUUUUCAGUUGAAGUAACUGUUGUUACUUCAGUGAUUACACUUUUGCUCAUAUUCAAACUUAAUGGAAUUAUAAUUCUCAGGAUAGUAUUUUGUAAAUAAAGAUGAUUUAAAUAUGAAUCUUAUGAGUAAAUUAUUUCCAUAUCAUUUUAUUCUAGAUAGUAUAACUAUUUUAAUUUGUUUAACUAAUCCACUAUUAUAUAAACAACAGUGGGAGAUUUAUAGAUGUAAUCUUGCAGGUGGGGAGGCUUUACAUUUGAAAGGCCAUGGCAUUAUGCCAAGAACUGUAUUUACUGUGGUUGUAGACAAAUGUGAAAGUAACUUUAUGCUUAAUUAAAU